rnacentral:rRNA from 1 species
UACGUAGGGUGCAAGCGUUGUCCGGAAUUAUUGGGCGUAAAGAGCUCGUAGGCGGUUUGUCGCGUCUGCUGUGAAAACUCGGGGCUUAACCCCGGGCCUGCAGUGGGGUACGGGCAGACUAGAGUGCGGUAGGGGAGAACUGGAAUUCCUGGUGUAGCGGUGAAAUGCGCAGAUAUCAGGAGGAACACCGGUGGCGAAGGCGGUGAUCUGGGCCGGCACUGACGCUGAGGAGCGAAAGCGUGGGGAGCAAACCGG